AACGAACGCUGGCGGCAUGCCUAACACAUGCAAGUCGAACGAGACCUUCGGGUCUAGUGGCGCACGGGUGCGUAACGCGUGGGAACCUGCCCUUAGGUUCGGAAUAACUCCCCGAAAGGGGUGCUAAUACCGGAUAAUGUCUUCGGACCAAGGAUUUAUCGCCUUUGGUUGGGCCCGCGUUGGAUUAGCUAGUUGGUAGGGUAAAAGCCUACCAAGGCGACGAUCCAUAGCUGGUCUGAGAGGAUGAUCAGCCACACUGGGACUGAGACACGGCCCAGACUCCUACGGGAGGCAGCAGUGGGGAAUAUUGGACAAUGGGCGAAAGCCUGAUCCAGCAAUGCCGCGUGAGUGAUGAAGGCCUUAGGGUUGUAAAGCUCUUUUACCCGGGAUGAUAAUGACAGUACCGGGAGAAUAAGCUCCGGCUAACUCCGUG
rnacentral:rRNA from 1 species